UACGGGGGGGGCAAGCGUUGUUCGGAAUUACUGGGCGUAAAGGGCUCGUAGGUGGCCAACUAAGCCAGACGUGAAAUCCCUCGGCUUAACCGGGGAACUGCGUCUGAUACUGGAUGGCUUGAGUUUGGGAGAGGGACGCGGAAUUCCAGGUGUAGCGGUGAAAUGCGUAGAUAUCUGGAGGAACACCGGUGGCGAAGGCGGCGUCCUGGACCAACACUGACACUGAGGAGCGAAAGCCAGGGGAGCAAACGGG
rnacentral:rRNA from 1 species